ACAAACCCUACUACGGAGCAAGUGGCGGGGUGAAACUGAGAGAGCGUCCAAAACCGCCUCUGACCGCCAGUUUCAAACUCAUUUGCGGAAAUCGUGGUUAUAUCAAAACAGGAACAGAUAGCGACUCAACAAAGCAGUGACUCGUUUGGAAAUAAAUUGAAUAACGGGGUCCUACGCUACCUUGUGGACGCUGAGGAUCUGAGGUCUGUUCUUAUUUCAGUUGGAUCAGACAUGUUAGAGAAAUGAUAGCGGCACCAGAGUUACCGUCAGAGUUCCACUAUCCUCAAGAUACAGACACUCGUUUCUCCUCAGACACAGACUUCUCUGAGGCUCCUGAUGUCAGUAUCAACCCAACCAAAGGAAAGGUACGACUCUUACCCAAGUUAUACACACCACAACAUAUUACAAGCUCUACAACACAGUAUUACAACCUCUUCCCCACGCUC